UCGUGCUAAGCGGGGAGGUAGCGGUGCCCUGAACUCGCAAUCCGCUCUAGCGAGGCUGAAUCCCUUCUCGAGGUUAGUAGACUGUAGGGUCUGCCUCAAGUAAGUGGUGUUGACACCUGGGUCCUGCGCAAUGGGAACCCGUGAACCAUGUCAGGUCCGGAAGGAAGCAGCAUUAAGCGGACUCUCUCAUGUGCCGCAGGGUUGCCUGGGUCGAGCUAACUGCUUGAGUAACGCUUAUGGUGACUAAUCGACAGAAGGUGCACGG
rfam:Bacillus sp. CHD6a contig43, whole genome shotgun sequence.